GCCCCGCCCCGGCCACCUCCCCCCGCUGCCAGCAGCGUUCGGGGUAAACAAGGUGAAGCAGCCUGGGGGUGUUCAGCAGUCUGAUUCUGCCUCUCGGGGGGUUGCCCUUGCGGUUGGGGGUGAGAUGUUAACUAAUUAAUUGUAAUUAACAGUAACUUCCAAACUCGAGAAGGAAUCGACCCUCCGGAAGAGUCCGGAUGCCGGCUUAGGGCUGCGCGUCCUUAGAGCAGCGGCAGCUGCAGCCGGGUGGAAGGGGUGCUCCCAGCUCCGGGCUUGCCUUCAGCCAUCCCGAAAUUAACACGGCGCCGGGGAGCAGAGGGAAAGUUUCCCAGCACUAACUGGAGCCACUGGCCCUAACAGAUCUGCAGAGAGUCCCCAGAGCCUCCAAGCCUAGAAGAAGAAAUGAGUGAAAGGAGAUGGAUGAAAACAUCUAGAUCACUCUAAGACUCCUGUUGGAAACUCAUGAUUUUUAAUGGAAUCUAAAGCAGUGAUUCAUGGUGGAAGGGGAUACGCUUGCCAUAAAUCAUCUGCUUUUGCAUAUAUGGACUCUGUGUGGACAGGAUCCAACCCUUCGCCCAAAGCUGACAGCAGUCUUUCUUCCAUUGAUGUCAAUGAGCUUAGAUCAGAGCAUGAGUCUUGUGAUCAAAGACAGUUCUACAUAAAAAAAAAAAGACUUCCUUUUCCAGGGCUUCCAACCUCCUUUUAGCUGCAUGAAAGUACCUGUAGGAAAAGCACACCCUCAUCACAUGUAAUAGUGGCAUACUUUUAUAUUUGCUGCAUUUUAAGUCAUGCUAUUAUUAUUGAGAGAAAAACAAACAAAAAAUUGAUGUUUUUUUUUUCUUUUGAAUGAGCCAAAUGAGUAGAGCACAUCCAUGGGUGUAAGAUCAAGAAGAGGAAUGCUAAGUUUUCACAUUCUGGGAAAUCCCUUAUAUGCAAAAGGAGCUAUGAGAUAUAAUGACUAGUUGUUCCUAACCUUUUGGAAUUGAACAGACUCACAUGAACUCUGAGUUGCCCUUAAGGUCUCCCUUCUUUUAGGGAGAUACAAUGCCCAUUUGUCUCUUCAGGAAAGAGUUGCCAUGGGAAGUUAUUUUCUAGACAAGUAUACAACCUGAACCUGGUUUCUUUUAGGCCAUGUUUUGCUAAACCUCAUUUGCACUCAUCAGCAUGAAGCUGAUAGAGGCAAAUAUGAGAAGAAAACCUGACAACUGGAUGUGUUUCUAGGAGAAGUUUCUCCAAAACCUCAUUGCAAUUUUGCAUUGCCAGGUUUUUGGGCAGCACUGAAAAAUGGGCAGGUUCACUAAACAGAGCUGAAAUGAAGCACCAUCCCUAUCAUUCACAAAAUAGAAGAUACUCCCCUUAGUCAACUUUGUAUCCCAUUCCUCACUCAGAAAUGUUUUUAUUUUAUUUACUUUAAAAUAGAUGUUAAUACAGUUUGCACAGUUGCGUUCACAGAUGUUAAGGCUGUAAGCCAUCUUAUGACCAAUUCUGACUCUUCAUCAUGGGUCAUGAGCUCACCUGCAACUGAUUCCCACUUGAACAAGAGAAGGGCUUGAGAAAGACUAGAAAAGGCAUUCAAUUCUAUCUAUCACAUUGUAUUGUAAAUGAUUGCAGUUGUUACCUAUCCUUAAUGCAACUAAAAUUAUGUGCCUUCAGCUUUCUAUUGGAUUUCCUUGUAUAUUUUUCUACCACAGUGAAAUGUCCCCUAU
rnacentral:lncRNA from 1 species